rnacentral:rRNA from 1 species
CCUACGGGAGGCAGCAGUGGGGAAUCUUGCGCAAUGGGCGGAAGCCUGACGCAGCAACGCCGCGUGCGGGAAGAAGGCCUUAGGGUCGUAAACCGCUUUCAGGGGGGACGAAGCUUCCGGGGUUAAUAGCCUACGGGGUGACGGUACUCCCAAAAGAAGGUCCGGCUAACUACGUGCCAGCAGCCGCGGUAAUACGUAGGGACCGAGCGUUGUCCGGAAUCAUUGGGCGUAAAGAGCGUGUAGGCGGCCUAGUAGGUCUCGUGUGAAAUCCCGUGGCUCAACCACGGACACGCACGGGAAACCCCUAGGCUCGAGUCCGGAAGAGGAGAGCGGAAUUCCUGGUGUAGCGGUGAAAUGCGCAGAUAUCAGGAAGAACACCCGUAGCGAAGGCGGCUCUCUGGGACGGUACUGACGCUGAGACGCGAAAGCGUGGGGAGCAAACAGGAUUAGAUACCCUGGUAGUCCACGCCGUAAACGAUGGAUGCUAGGUGUGGGAGGUGUCGACUCCUCCCGUGCCGAAGCUAACGCAUUAAGCAUCCCGCCUGGGGAGUACGGCCGCAAGGCUAAAACUCAAAUGAAUUGACGG